CGUUGUUAGGUUUAGGCAACAAAAACAUGUGGUUAGGUUUAGGCAACAAAAACACGUAGAUAGUUUUAGGCAACAAAAGCACUUAGUUAGGUUUCGGCAACAAAGACACAUGGUUAGUCUCAGGCAACAAAAACAUGUAGAUAGUUUUAGGCAACAAAAGCACGUAGUUAGGUUAAGGCAACAAAAACACGUAGAUAGUUUUAGGCAACAAAAGCACGUAGUUAGAUUAAGGCAACAAAAACACGUAGAUAUUUUUAGGCAACAAAAACACGUAGUUAGGUUUGGGCAACAAAAUUACAUGGUUAGGUUUAGGCAACAAAAACAUGUAGAUAGUUUUAGGCAACAAAAACACGUAGUUAGGUUUGGGCAACAAAAUUACGUGGUUAGGUUUAGGCAACAAAAACACGUGGUUAGGUUUAGGCAACAAAAACAUGUAGAUAGUUUUAGGCAACAAAAACACGUAGUUAGGUUUGGGCAACAAAAUUACAUGGUUAGGUUUAGGCAACAAAAACACGUGGUUAGGUAUGGGCAACAAAAUUACAUGGUUAGGUUUAGGCAACAAAAACACGUGGUUAGGUUUAGGCAACACAAUUAGGCAUAUCAUACUGCCAUGAAGGAUGCUACAUGCGGG